rnacentral:rRNA from 1 species
UACGUAGGGUCCGAGCGUUGUCCGGAAUUACUGGGCGUAAAGAGCUCGUAGGUGGUUUGUCGCGUUGUUCGUGAAAACUCACAGCUCAACUGUGGGCGUGCGGGCGAUACGGGCAGGCUAGAGUACUGCAGGGGAGACUGGAAUUCCUGGUGUAGCGGUGAAAUGUGCAGAUAUCAGGAAGAAUAUCCGUGGCGAAGGCGGCUCUCUGGUACGGCACUGACGCUGAGACGCGAAAGCGUGGGGAGCAAACAGG